rnacentral:rRNA from 1 species
AAAUUGAAGAGUUUGAUCAUGGCUCAGAUUGAACGCUGGCGGCAGGCCUAACACAUGCAAGUCGAACGGUAACAGGAAGCAGCUUGCUGCUUCGCUGACGAGUGGCGGACGGGUGAGUAAUGUCUGGGAAACUGCCUGAUGGAGGGGGAUAACUACUGGAAACGGUGGCUAAUACCGCAUAACGUCGCAAGACCAAAGAGGGGGACCUUCGGGCCUCUUGCCAUCAGAUGUGCCCAGAUGGGAUUAGCUAGUUGGUGAGGUAACGGCUCACCAAGGCGACGAUCCCUAGCUGGUCUGAGAGGAUGACCAGCCACACUGGAACUGAGACACGGUCCAGACUCCUACGGGAGGCAGCAGUGGGGAAUAUUGCACAAUGGGCGCAAGCCUGAUGCAGCCAUGCCGCGUGUAUGAAGAAGGCCUUCGGGUUGUAAAGUACUUUCAGCGGGGAGGAAGGUGUUGUGGUUAAUAACCGCAGCAAUUGACGUUACCCGCAGAAGAAGCACCGGCUAACUCCGUGCCAGCAGCCGCGGUAAUACGGAGGGUGCAAGCGUUAAUCGGAAUUACUGGGCGUAAAGCGCACGCAGGCGGUCUGUCAAGUCGGAUGUGAAAUCCCCGGGCUCAACCUGGGAACUGCAUUCGAAACUGGCAGGCUUGAGUCUUGUAGAGGGGGGUAGAAUUCCAG